UUCACUAACCCUAAACCCUCCAUUUCCCCCCAAAUACUUCCCCAAACUCUCCUUCUCGUCAGAUUUUCCCCAAGCUCUCCUUCUCGCCGGAUUUCCUACAAGCUCUCCUUCUCGCUGGAUUUUCCGCAACUCUCCUUCUCGCCGGAGGUAAUGUUCUAAUGUUCUUAAUGUCUAGAUUUUCCCCAACCCUAAUGUUCUACUUCGAUCCUAAUCCAUCUGCCUCUCUUCUUUCUCUCCGUUUUCAAUAUAAACACUAAUAUUCUACUUCGAUCCUAAUGGAUCUGCCUCUCUUCCUCUCGUCGUUUUUAAUAAACUUCUAAAAAACCCUAAUAUUCUACUCAUGGGUCUUCAUUCUGUAAAUAAAAGUGAUUGAGGUUCAUUCUGUAAAUGAUGAUCCUUUUCAAUGCUUUAGGUAGUCCAAAAUGAGAUUCAGCCUUUUACCUUUCUAAAUAUUUUUGUAAAUGUUCAGUAAAUGAAUUUCUGUAAAUUGAAUUUUAAUUUAUAAAUGUUCUUCCAAUCAAUUUCAGUAAAUGUUUUGAUAAUGGAUUUAUGUAAAUGGAUUUUUGUAAAUGUUUUUCCAAUCAAUUUAUAAAUAUUUUGUAAAUACUUAGAAAUGUUUCCGAUGAAUUUUACUUAGAAAGUAAUACUUUUCUAAUGUUUUUGUAAAUGUUCUGUAAAUGCCCUUCUUAGCAAAAAGAUAAUUAAUUUCUGUAAAUCUUUUGUAAAUGGAGGUUCUUCCAUUAUCUUGUUCUAUAAAUGGAACAAUAAGAUGUAAAUUGUAUGAAAUUUACAUACAAUGUUCUUGUUUUACUUCUGUAAAAUUUACGUUAAAAUAACUAUGAAAUUUAGUUCUGCAAAUUUUUUAAAAUCGAACUUAAAUUAAUUAUCUUUAUAAAAUUAUGAACUAUAAAAUUAAUUUUGUCUAUAAAUAUUUAUCAUUAUAAAUCAUUAUGAUUUAGGAAGUCUAAACUGAUCAGUUUCAGUGUCCUAUGCAGGAACGGAGAGACAUCUACUGGUAUAAAAAAAUUUAGCUUUUGUUAAGGUUUUUAUAACUUUUAGAGGUAUAGAGCUUUAACAUUUUGGAUAAAUUUUUAUCUGAUUUGUUUUAACUUGUUUUUAUUUUUACACUUAAGUUUCUUCAGUUUUGAUUUGCUUUUUUAUCCGAUUUAUUAAUAGAUUCAUUUUAUUGCUUGAGUUCAAUCUAAUGAUUUACAAUUCUCUAUUGCUAUUUAUUUUUAGGUUAGAAUUAUAUUUUUGAGGGAUGUGAUGUUGUAUACUGUCGAAUAAAAUUUCCUCACUAGCUAUGAAAGAAAAAAUCACAAGAUAAAGAAAAGAUAGAGAGUUGAAUGCUCAUAUUGUAUUUUCUAAAAUUUUAGAUUAUUUUGUUGAUUAUUGAUUAAAUCUGAUUUUUAGAUUAAAUUUUACAUAUUUUAUAUUUUCCUUAUUUUCAGAUCUUAUAUCUAUUUCAACGGCAGUUUCCAAAGCCUUUGAAAAACGAAUGAAAGCGUACGAAAAACGACUUAAAAUAUGGAACAACGGUUAAUUGACAAUAUACAUUUGAGUUUAAUAAAUGUUUUUAAAUGAGUUUUUAAAUUUAUUAAUUUUUUAAUAUCUUCAUUUAUUUUCAGGCUAAUGCUCCAAGCAACGACCCCAAUCGUCCAUCAUCGAGUAAUGUUCCUGCUUCUUCUCAGUUGAACCAUCUUAUUCCAUUAUCGAGAAAUUAUUGGGAAAAAGAUACUACUUUGAAUUUGACACCUCGAUCAAAAGGUAAGACUUUAGAUAUUUCAAAUAUUGUUCAACAAAAAAAAUUGUAAAACACUUAACUCUAUUGUAAUUGUAAUCUCUAUUGUAACAUCAAUGUGUGUGAUUGUAAACCACUUAACAAUAUUUCUUUUUUGCUUAAUCUAAUUUGUGAUUCAAUA
rnacentral:lncRNA from 1 species